rnacentral:rRNA from 1 species
GGUUAAGCGACUAAGCGUACACGGUGGAUGCCCUGGCAGUCAGAGGCGAUGAAGGACGUGCUAAUCUGCGAUAAGCGUCGGUAAGGUGAUAUGAACCGUUAUAACCGGCGAUUUCCGAAUGGGGAAACCCAGUGUGAUUCGUCACACUAUCAUUAACUGAAUCCAUAGGUUAAUGAGGCGAACCGGGGGAACUGAAACAUCUAAGUACCCCGAGGAAAAGAAAUCAACCGAGAUUCCCCCAGUAGCGGCGAGCGAACGGGGAGGAGCCCAGAGCCUGAAUCAGUGUGUGUGUUAGUGGAAGCGUCUGGAAAGGCGCGCGAUACAGGGUGACAGCCCCGUACACAAAAAUGCACAUGCUGUGAGCUCGAUGAGUAGGGCGGGACACGUGGUAUCCUGUCUGAAUAUGGGGGGACCAUCCUCCAAGGCUAAAUACUCCUGACUGACCGAUAGUGAACCAGUACCGUGAGGGAAAGGCGAAAAGAACCCCGGCGAGGGGAGUGAAAAAGAACCUGAAACCGUGUACGUACAAGCAGUGGGAGCACGCUUAGGCGUGUGACUGCGUACCUUUUGUAUAAUGGGUCAGCGACUUAUAUUCUGUAGCAAGGUUAACCGAAUAGGGGAGCCGAAGGGAAACCGAGUCUUAACUGGGCGUUAAGUUGCAGGGUAUAGACCCGAAACCCGGUGAUCUAGCCAUGGGCAGGUUGAAGGUUGGGUAACACUAACUGGAGGACCGAACCGACUAAUGUUGAAAAAUUAGCGGAUGACUUGUGGCUGGGGGUGAAAGGCCAAUCAAACCGGGAGAUAGCUGGUUCUCCCCGAAAGCUAUUUAGGUAGCGCCUCGUGAAUUCAUCUCCGGGGGUAGAGCACUGUUUCGGCAAGGGGGUCAUCCCGACUUACCAACCCGAUGCAAACUACGAAUACCGGAGAAUGUUAUCACGGGAGACACACGGCGGGUGCUAACGUCCGUCGUGAAGAGGGAAACAACCCAGACCGCCAGCUAAGGUCCCAAAGUCAUGGUUAAGUGGGAAACGAUGUGGGAAGGCCCAGACAGCCAGGAUGUUGGCUUAGAAGCAGCCAUCAUUUAAAGAAAGCGUAAUAGCUCACUGGUCGAGUCGGCCUGCGCGGAAGAUGUAACGGGGCUAAACCAUGCACCGAAGCUGCGGCAGCGACGCUUAUGCGUUGUUGGGUAGGGGAGCGUUCUGUAAGCCUGCGAAGGUGUGCUGUGAGGCAUGCUGGAGGUAUCAGAAGUGCGAAUGCUGACAUAAGUAACGAUAAAGCGGGUGAAAAGCCCGCUCGCCGGAAGACCAAGGGUUCCUGUCCAACGUUAAUCGGGGCAGGGUGAGUCGACCCCUAAGGCGAGGCCGAAAGGCGUAGUCGAUGGGAAACAGGUUAAUAUUCCUGUACUUGGUGUUACUGCGAAGGGGGGACGGAGAAGGCUAUGUUGGCCGGGCGACGGUUGUCCCGGUUUAAGCGUGUAGGCUGGUUUUCCAGGCAAAUCCGGAAAAUCAAGGCUGAGGCGUGAUGACGAGGCACUACGGUGCUGAAGCAACAAAUGCCCUGCUUCCAGGAAAAGCCUCUAAGCAUCAGGUAACAUCAAAUCGUACCCCAAACCGACACAGGUGGUCAGGUAGAGAAUACCAAGGCGCUUGAGAGAACUCGGGUGAAGGAACUAGGCAAAAUGGUGCCGUAACUUCGGGAGAAGGCACGCUGAUAUGUAGGUGAAGUCCCUCGCGGAUGGAGCUGAAAUCAGUCGAAGAUACCAGCUGGCUGCAACUGUUUAUUAAAAACACAGCACUGUGCAAACACGAAAGUGGACGUAUACGGUGUGACGCCUGCCCGGUGCCGGAAGGUUAAUUGAUGGGGUUAGCGCAAGCGAAGCUCUUGAUCGAAGCCCCGGUAAACGGCGGCCGUAACUAUAACGGUCCUAAGGUAGCGAAAUUCCUUGUCGGGUAAGUUCCGACCUGCACGAAUGGCGUAAUGAUGGCCAGGCUGUCUCCACCCGAGACUCAGUGAAAUUGAACUCGCUGUGAAGAUGCAGUGUACCCGCGGCAAGACGGAAAGACCCCGUGAACCUUUACUAUAGCUUGACACUGAACAUUGAGCCUUGAUGUGUAGGAUAGGUGGGAGGCUUUGAAGUGUGGACGCCAGUCUGCAUGGAGCCGACCUUGAAAUACCACCCUUUAAUGUUUGAUGUUCUAACGUUGACCCGUAAUCCGGGUUGCGGACAGUGUCUGGUGGGUAGUUUGACUGGGGCGGUCUCCUCCUAAAGAGUAACGGAGGAGCACGAAGGUUGGCUAAUCCUGGUCGGACAUCAGGAGGUUAGUGCAAUGGCAUAAGCCAGCUUGACUGCGAGCGUGACGGCGCGAGCAGGUGCGAAAGCAGGUCAUAGUGAUCCGGUGGUUCUGAAUGGAAGGGCCAUCGCUCAACGGAUAAAAGGUACUCCGGGGAUAACAGGCUGAUACCGCCCAAGAGUUCAUAUCGACGGCGGUGUUUGGCACCUCGAUGUCGGCUCAUCACAUCCUGGGGCUGAAGUAGGUCCCAAGGGUAUGGCUGUUCGCCAUUUAAAGUGGUACGCGAGCUGGGUUUAGAACGUCGUGAGACAGUUCGGUCCCUAUCUGCCGUGGGCGCUGGAGAACUGAGGGGGGCUGCUCCUAGUACGAGAGGACCGGAGUGGACGCAUCACUGGUGUUCGGGUUGUCAUGCCAAUGGCACUGCCCGGUAGCUAAAUGCGGAAGAGAUAAGUGCUGAAAGCAUCUAAGCACGAAACUUGCCCCGAGAUGAGUUCUCCCUGACCCUUUAAGGGUCCUGAAGGAACGUUGAAGACGACGACGUUGAUAGGCCGGGUGUGUAAGCGCAGCGAUGCGUUGAGCUAACCGGUACUAAUGAACCGUGAGGCUUAACCUU